rnacentral:rRNA from 1 species
UUCAUGAAGCUGGAAUUGCCAGUAAUGGCAGGUCAGCAUACUGCCGUGAAUACGUUCCCGGGCCUUGUACACACCGCCCGUCACACCAUGAGAGUUGGGAAUACCCGAAGCCUGUGAGCUAACAUAUGAGGCAGCAGUCGAAGGUAGAAUCAAUGAUUGGGGUGAAGUCGUAACAAGGUAUC